GAUCAAGAUACUAAGGGCACACGGUGAAUGCCUUGGCAUCAGAAGCCGACGAAGGACGUGGCAAGCUGCGAUAAGCUCCGGGUAGGUGCAAACUACCGUCGAUCCGGAGAUGUCCGAAUGGGGAAACCCAGCCGGGGUCAUGCCCGGUUACCCAUGCCUGAACACAUAGGGCAUGAGGAGGCAACCUGGGGAACUGAAACAUCUAAGUACCCAGAGGAAGAGAAAUCAACCGAGAUUUCCCUAGUAGUGGCGAGCGAACGGGAAACAGCCUAAACCCGCGUAUGCGUAUAGCCUGUGGGCGUUGCUGCGCGUGGGGUUGUGGGAGUCAUCGGCAUAGGGCCACUGACCUAUGACGGAGUUACAAAACGGCAGGGUAGCGGAACGGUUUUGGAAAAGCCGGCCACAGAAGGUAAGAGCCCUGUAUGCGAAAUUCUGCCGACUCCGAGAUGACCACCCGAGUACUGCCGGACACGUGAAAUCCGGCAGGAAUCUGGGGGGACCACCCUCCAAGGCUAAAUACUCUCUGAUGACCGAUAGUGAACCAGUACCGUGAGGGAAAGGUGAAAAGCACCCCGAGAGGGGAGUGAAAUAGUACCUGAAACCGUGUGCUUACAAGCAGUCACAGCCCGGAAAGCCGGCUUGCCGGCAGGGUGGUGGCGUGCCUUUUGUAGAAUGAGCCAGCGAGUUACCGUAUGCAGCAAGGUUAAGCUUUGAAGCGAGCCGUAGCGAAAGCGAGUCUUUAAACGGGCGUUCAGUUGCAUGUGGUAGACGCGAAGCCAGGUGAGCUAUCCAUGGGCAGGCUGAAGCGGGGGUAAGACCCCGUGGAGGGCCGAACCCACUUCGGUUGAAAACGGAGGGGAUGACCUGUGGAUCGGAGUGAAAGGCUAAUCAAACCUGGAGAUAUCUCGUUCUCCCCGAAAUAGCUUUAGGGCUAGCCUCGGGUGUUCAGUUCCGGUGGUAGAGCACUGGAUGGUCUAGGGGGCUUCACCGCUUACCGAAAUCAGCCAAACUCCGAAUGCCGGUACUCCAGAACCCGGGAGUCAGACUAUGUGGGCUAAGCUGUGUAGUCGAAAGGGAAACAGCCCAGAUCGCCCGCUAAGGUCCCUAAGUUCAUGCUAAGUGGCAAAGGAUGUGCGUUUGCACAGACAACCAGGAUGUUGGCUUAGAAGCAGCCAUUCAUUUAAAGAGUGCGUAAUAGCUCACUGGUCAAGUGGACACGCGCCGACAAUACACGGGGCUCAAGCAUGACACCGAAGCGGCGAACUUCACGUUUACGUGGAGUGGUAGGGGAGCAUUCUGUACCGGGUCGAAGCGGGCGGGUGACCGUCCGUGGACUGUACAGAAGUGAGAAUGCUGGCAUGAGUAGCGAGAGAAGUGUGAGAAACACUUCCGCCGUAAGCCUAAGGGUUCCUGGGCAAGGCUAAUCCUCCCAGGGUCAGUCGGGAGCUAAGGCGAGGCCGCGAGGCGUAGUCGAUGCACAACAGGUAGACAUUCCUGUACCACUGGCAGCGCGUUAUUACCGAUGGGGUGACGGAGAAGGGUAGCUGAGCGCGGUUCUGGACGUCCGCGUGAAAGGCUGUAGGGCUCAGGGUAGGCAAAUCCGCCCUGUAUAUGCCUGAGAGCUGAUGACGAAGCGAUAGAGUGAAGUCAGUGAUCCCAUGCUUUCAAGAAAAACCUCUAGGGAGUGCUGUCGGUGCCCGUACCCCAAACCGACACAGGUAGGCAGGUAGAGAAUACCAAGGCGAUCGAGAGAACUACGGUUAAGGAACUCGGCAUAAUGGCUCCGUAACUUCGGGAGAAGGAGCACCCCGGCUGGUGAUCAUCUUCGCGGUGUGAGCUGGUUGGGGGCGCAGUGAAACGGCCCAAGCGACUGUUUACUAAAAACACAGGACUCUGCUAAGUCGUAAGACGACGUAUAGGGUCUGACGCCUGCCCGGUGCUGGAAGGUUACGGGGAGCGGUUAGCCUUCGGGCGAAGCUGUGAACCUAAGCCCCAGUAAACGGCGGCCGUAACUAUAACGGUCCUAAGGUAGCGAAAUUCCUUGUCGGGUAAGUUCCGACCUGCACGAAUGGCGUAACGACUUGGGCGCUGUCUCAACCGUAGACUCGGCGAAAUUGCAUUAUUCGUGAAGAUGCGAAUUACCCGCGGAAGGACGGAGAGACCCCGUGAACCUUUACUACAGCUUGACAUUGAUCUUUGGUUUGUCGUGUAGAGGAUAGGUGGGAGGCUGUGAAGCCGGGACGCCAGUCUCGGUGGAGUCGACCUUGGAAUACCACCCUCGGCAAGCUGGAGGUCUAACCCCACACCGUUAUCCGGGUGGGGGACCGUGUCAGGUGGGUAGUUUGACUGGGGCGGUCGCCUCCUAAAAUGUAACGGAGGCGCGCGUAAGGUUCCCUCAGAUCGGUUGGCAAUCGAUCGUAGAGUGCAAGCGCACAAGGGAGCUUGACUGCGAGACCUACAAGUCGAGCAGAGACGAAAGUCGGCGCUAGUGAUCCGGCGGCUCAGAGUGGAAUGGCCGUCGCUCAACGGAUAAAAGGUACUCCGGGGAUAACAGGCUGAUCCUGCCCAAGAGUCCACAUCGACGGCAGGGUUUGGCACCUCGAUGUCGGCUCAUCGCAUCCUGGGGCUGUAGCAGGUCCCAAGGGUUUGGCUGUUCGCCAAUUAAAGCGGUACGCGAGCUGGGUUUAGAACGUCGUGAGACAGUUCGGUCCCUAUCCUCCGCGGGCGCAGGAGACUUGAGAGAGGCUGUCCCUAGUACGAGAGGACCGGGAUGGACGAACCUCUGGUGUACCAGUUGUCGACCAACGGCACCGCUGGUUAGCUACGUUCGGUCGGGAUAACCGCUGAAAGCAUCUAAGCGGGAAGCCCUUCUCAAGAUGAGGUCUCCCACUGGGUCAACCAGGUAAGGCCCCUCGUAGAUGACGAGGUUGAUAGGCUGCAGGUGUACGCACAGCAAUGUGUUCAGCCGAGCAGUACUAAUAGGCCGAGGUCUUGAUCUU
rnacentral:rRNA from 1 species